rnacentral:rRNA from 1 species
UACGUAGGGUGCGAGCGUUGUCCGGAGUUAUUGGGCGUAAAGCGCGCGCAGGCGGCUUGGCGCGCCCGACGUGAAAGCCCCCGGCUUAACCGGGGAGGGUCGUCGGGUACGGCCAGGCUUGAGGGCGGGAGAGGGUGGUGGAAUUCCCGGUGUAGUGGUGAAAUGCGUAGAGAUCGGGAGGAACACCUGUGGCGAAGGCGGCCACCUGGGCCGACCCUGACGCUGAGGCGCGAAGGCGUGGGGAGCGAACGGG